UCCCAGGGGAUACAGUCCGCGCCAGGGCGGGCUGCGCGGUGGGGCUCCGCCGCCUUCCUGCUGGGCGCCCCGGUGCCAGCGCUGCCUCUGCUCGCGCGCACCGGCCUGCAGGGCCGCCCGCCGCUGGCGCUCCACGUGGCCGGGCUCAGCGCCGCGGGCUGCUGAUGGUGUCUCCGGAGAACGUCUGCGGAAAGCGGCGAUGUUCAAGGCUGGUUCCACCUUCAACCACGUGGUGCAGAACGAACAAUCAGAAACACACUCCGUUCAGGGAGAGUGGUUGGAUUUAGGAGUCAAACAUGAGCUGUGAAGACCCUCGUUUAACUCUGCACUGGACAGGAGCGUGGCUGUGUGAGAUCCUUCCGCGCAGAGCGGCGGCGGCGCUGGGACCGGGAGCGUGGAGGCGGAGCCGCGGCGGGCACACCUGCGGCAUCCGAGGAGCUACCACCUUUCCGUGCCUAGACCUCCCCAUCUGUGGAACGAAGUCAAUACCGCCUACCUCACAGGGAUGCUGUGAAGACUUAGAAGAACGUCAAACGUUUUUAAUGCUUAGAUGAGAGGACAUUGUGGAAUCUAUUCUGUGUGAGAGUUGCGUAAAAAUGGACAUUCGGUUAACUGUACCAGAUGCCGGAAAUGUGUGUGCAAAAGAGCAUUUUGCCAACUCAAAAUAGUAUUAAUUUCUAGAUUAAAAAAAAUAAUCUGUGUUAUUGUAAGCACUAAGUUUGUGGUAACAUGUUACAGCAGCAACAGUAAACUAAUACACUCCCGUG